rnacentral:rRNA from 1 species
UACGGAGGAUGCAAGCGUUAUCCGGAAUGAUUGGGCGUAAAGCGUCCGCAGGUGGCUGUGUAAGUCUGCUGUUAAAUAGUGAGGCUCAACCUCAUAAAGGCAGUGGAAACUACACGGCUAGAGUGCGUUCGGGGCAGAGGGAAUUCCUGGUGUAGCGGUGAAAUGCGUAGAGAUCAGGAAGAACACCGGUGGCGAAAGCGCUCUGCUAGGCCGCAACUGACACUGAGGACGAAAGCUAGGGAGCGAAUGG